rnacentral:ncRNA from 1 species
UAGCCUAUGAAUAAGAAAUCGUCGAGAUUGAGUAAGCUAUUCCAUGGUAUUUACAUGAGAUUCCUCUUUAAGAAAGUCCUCGAGAAGGCUUAGUUGAUCCAAAGUUACUCUAGGGAUAAUAGGUUAAUCUUUCCUAAGAGAUCACAUCGAUGGGAAGGUUUGACACCUCGAUUUCGGCUCUUUGCCACUUGGGGCCGUAGUAUGUUCCAAUGGUUGGAUUAUUCGCUCAUUAAAGUUGUACGUGAGCUGGGUUCAGAAUAUAGUGAGAAAGUUCGGUCCAUAUUCGGUGUGGCCGUUAGAGCAUUGAGAGGAUAUUUCCCUAGUACAAGAGGACCGGGAAGGAUGCACCUCUGGUAUACCAGUUAUCGUGCGCACGGUAAAUACUGGGUAGCCAAGUGCGAAGCGGAUAACUGCUGAAUGCAUCUAAGUAGCAAUCCCACCCCAAGAUGAGUGAGAGGGAUAGGGUUUCUCUCACUUUUGGCAUAGCGGGCCCCUAUUGAGAGGCUCGCACGAUGGGCUAGU